AGGCCCCCUGGGUGCCCCCUGGUGGCCCCCAAGGGGCCGUGGCCCCCACUUUCAAAACCACUGUGCUACACAACUCAAAAGUUUGUCUCAUUUUCUUCAAGUUCUUCUAUCCUACACUUUCCCAAGGCCUUUUCCUUUUUCCUUAAUCUUGUAACCGUUCCCGUAAUCUCUGUCGACGUUUUAUUUUCUUUGGCUUUCCCCUCGGAAACCUGGUACUAUUUGAAUUUCAUGAACAAACAAGUGGCAAGUCUUAUUAAAGGCUGGAUUUUGUGUAGACAUUAUUUAACAUAAUUCCAAAAACGACUCUGAAAUAAUGAAUAAACAAUGGGUUAUAUAAACACGCGUAUUAAUGCAGAGCACGAGCAUAUAAUUAAGACGCAUCAUUCCGAAGAAAGAAGUGUUCAGGGUGUGUGUGUGUGUGUGUGUGUGUGUGUGCACGUGCCCGCCCCAUCUGUGUGUGUGUGUGUGUGUGUGUGUGUAUAAAAUAAGAUAGGAAAAGAUCAUUUUUAUUGAUCCCACACUGGGGAAAUUCCCACGUUACAAUAGAGAAAUAAGAAUAAGAGUAAUACUCUGAAUGUGUGUGUGUGUGUGUGUGUUUAUGGGGGUGGGGCUUGUUGAAUAAUGGGGACUAAAUGACCCUACAAGCAUAGCAAAUAUCUGACAUUUUGGAUCUUGUAGGGUUCCAGUGAGGAACACUUUAAUACGUUUACAUUAAUUGGCUGCAUUCAUAGUUACGUCCUCACAUGACAAACGCGCGCGCGCGCGUGCGUGCGUGCGCGUGUGUGUGUGUGCACGUACGUGUGUGCAUUCAUCAAGGACAACCAGCACGACGCAUAAGUAGCUAUAAAUCAGCCUUAACCCGUUCUUAACGGAAAGGGCCGUUAUGUGGCGAUGCAACAAAGAGAAAACAAGCAGCGUUUAAAUAUGAUUACAACAGCAGAGAAAAUGGUCACGUUGAUUUUUUUUCCCCUCGAUUCUUUUCCACAAAAAAAAAGAAAGAAAGACAGAAAGAAAAGAAGACAGAAAAAGACUGCGCUUCAUUAUUGAACCGUUUUUAUUUAAUCAUAGCCAUGGUUUAACGAGAUUACAGGCUCCUUUUCACGUGUGUCUGAUGUGCGCGUGCGCUGUAAUUAGCACGGGAUCUCCUCGCGCCGAGGUGACGCACUCCUCAUCACACACACACACACACACACACACACAUACUGCACUGAAUUCAGGUAAUGUCUCGUCACACUUUAACCCAAUUUCAGCUGUCCAUGUUGUCCCAUCUGUUCAGUGGCACACAAAGGGUUAUUGUAGGCCAUGCUCUGCCUUGCCAGGCUUUUGAUUUUAAUUGCGGUGGCACUCAUCUACUCCUCUUCACUCAAAGGCUUGAAUACGCCGUUUGAAAUGUAAGCGUGUGAGAAGCUGAUUUUUUGUUCUUCCUCUCUUUUUCUCCCCCUUUCUCCCCUCCACUUAAUGCUUGUGAUACAUUAAAAGGUGUAAUCCGACUGAAAUGGAAAUUGCGCUCCUUGAAAACGGAUGAUGAGAGGAAGAUGGCAGGGCCGGCGUCGUGCUCCAUCAGAGAGGGUCAUGGGGGGCCUGGAGCCUAUCCCAGGGGCACAAGACAGGGGACACCAUGGACAGAGUGCCAACCCAUUGUAGGGCACAAUCACACACACAGUACAGACAAUUUAGAAAUGUCAAUCAGCCUACAACAUAUGACUCUGCUGGGUGGAAACCAGGAAGCAUGGGGAGAACGUACAAACUACAAACGGAGGCAGGAAUCGCACUCCCAACCCUGGAGGUGCGAGGCAGACGUGCUAACCACUAAGCCACCGAGGAACUACUACUGCCCCAAAUUUCAUUUUAGAGUGUAUAGACCUCUAAAUGAAAAAGACCUGUUCUUUCUCACUGAUACAAGUAGCAGGAUCAGCUCUGUUUGGACCUCUAGAGCAAGGUCAUCCCACUGCUCUCUGCUCCACUUACAAGUGCCCCCUUUUCAUAGGGCCUUCAGACGCCGAGCGAGAUCAGGACAAAGGAUAGGGAUGAAAAAAAAAGAAGAAGAAGAAGGAAAAAAAAGAAUAGUUCAAAAGAGAGCGGGCUUCACAUAACAUAGAUUUACAAUCUAAAUCUACGGUGAUAUCCAGCAUCUGCAUUGGACCGAUAUCGACACAAAUACUGGACUGGAAAUCCUGGGAGGAAAAAAGAACGAGGCCCGUAUGAGCCACGAAUGAGCGGGGAAGAAAGUUAUUCCGGGAUAUUUUUCUGUUUAUUAUAAUGUUGGAAAGAGCUUUAUUUCCAUAUAGAUUUUAAUUUUGGCAUGAAUAAGUAUUAUACUGUAAAAACAGUUAUUUUAUUAGAAGUUGUCUAAUUCGGUACACAUUAUCCCUGUGAUAUUUAUAUUUGAUCUGUUUAUUUGAAUAAAAAAGAUGCCGAGUUGUUAUGUUGAUGCCUGUGUGUUUUUGCUAGAGGAGAUAUAGGUCUGAGUGUUUGAGUUGGCAGAUUUAUUUGGACUUAAGUGAUUCAGUUAAAAUUGUUGAUUUUAAAGGUUAGUAGUGAAAAAAUAUGAAACUGAUAUUGGCCAAUAACCAAGCUUUCAAUAAUAGUAUAAUUUUCUAAAAGAAAAGAAAAAGUGCUGCUGCUUAUUAUUAUUAUUAUUAUUAUUAUUAUUAUUAUUAUUAUUAUUAUUGUUGUUGUUGUUGUUGUUAUUAACUCUUUGGCCAUCUAUUAUAUCUAGUAUCUAGUAUCCUUUAGUAUCUAGUAUAUAGAUAAUUGUGUUAUUGUACAGCCUCUCAUCUCUUAGAUGAAAAGGUUCUUCAAGGGUUCUUUAAAAGUUCUUGGGAUAAUUAAGGGUUCAUAGUUUCUUGAAAGGGUUUUGCAUUUUUCUGUAUCCUUUAUGAGAACACUUUCUGAUAGGGAAAUACUUAGGUUUAUGGCUCUUCAAGGAAUCUUUAGUGUUUCCUGGAGAGGCACCGUUUUUGUUGUUGUUGUUGUUGUUGUUGUUGUCCGAUUGUGUAUUGUCUGAUGCUUAUGCACGUACAUUAAAUUAGAAUGUGUUUUUAUCAUAUAUCGUAUAUCACCAGAAACAUUCACAACCAUUUAAUCAUGUCAUUAUAUUAACAGUCUUAGGUCGUUUCUGAUGAUGUUCAAAUACACGUUCUCUUUGAUGUAUUUAAUAACAUAUGUCUUGUAGUGCAUCUAUUUUGGACUUUAAUAAUUUGGUUGCAUUUGAAAGCAUGAUGUGGUCAGACUUCAAACCAAUUCUUAAGAGUCCAAUGAUUUUUUUUUUUUUUCACCUCUCUACAUCUAGCUCAUCAAGGUCUAAGUGACAGUUGAACUAAAAUGUUCCUGAUGUGUGUUGGCUAUAGAACUGCUGGUUGUGUGAGUGUUUUGUGAGUGUGUGGUGGAAAAAGCUCGAUGCAGGCAGACAUUCAGACAGCCUGUCUGCUGUGCACCGGCUGCACACGUUUUUUCCCCUCUGUAAAAAUAUCACACCUUAUUUACAAUUCAAUGAGGUGCACUGGGUAAGAGUAACAAAGCCUCUCUCUCUCUCUCUCUCUCUCUCUCUCUCUCUCUCUCUCUCUCUCUCUUCCUAUUUUCUCUUGCUCUCCCCCUUUAUUUCUCCAUUUCAGUCUAUCUCUCCCCUUCUCUGUCUCUCAUUUUCUCUCUUACCCCUCUUUCUGCCUCUCUGUCCUCUCUCUCUCUCUCUCUCUCUCUCUCUAUCUCUCUUUCUCUUACACUUCUUCUCCCCUCUUUCAUUUUCUCUCGGAUGUUUGGGUUUAAGCAUUGCUUAGUGCACCCAGAACAAAUAAUCAAGAAAACAGCACACAUCACCUUUCUUACCCAAGUCUGAAUUUUGUAUUUUGCUUUUAUUGUUCUCCGUUG
ensembl:lncRNA